GUGUGAGGUAAAAACCCACCUGAUCAAACAGGACGGAGAAUAUAUAAAUAUAUACAUUCAAUUCACACAAUCAAGGAACAAAUUAAAUAUUUCGCUUAACUAUUAAAGCCUUUUGGCCAAACUUACGGGCAUUGUCGUGGAAAUCAGUUUGUGAUUUUCAAUGUUUGGUCAAAUGUUUCCCUGUAUCCCAUAUCUGGAAACAUUGGCUUUUAAUGCAGAACAAAAGUUGCU